GACGAACGCUGGCGGCGUGCCUAAUACAUGCAAGUAGAACGCUGAAGGAGGAGCUUGCUUCUCCGGAUGAGUUGCGAACGGGUAAGUAACGCGUAGGUAACCUGCCUGGUAGCGGGGGAUAACUAUUGGAAACGAUAGCUAAUACCGCAUAACAGUAGAUAUUGCAUGAUAUCUGCUUGAAAGGUGCAAAUGCAUCACUACCAGAUGGACCUGCGUUGUAUUAGCUAGUUGGUGGGGUAACGGCUCACCAAGGCGACGAUACAUAGCCGACCUGAGAGGGUGAUCGGCCACACUGGGACUGAGACACGGCCCAGACUCCUACGGGAGGCAGCAGUAGGGAAUCUUCGGCAAUGGACGGAAGUCUGACCGAGCAACGCCGCGUGAGUGAAGAAGGUUUUCGGAUCGUAAAGCUCUGUUGUAAGAGAAGAACGAGUGUGAGAGUGGAAAGUUCACACUGUGACGGUAUCUUACCAGAAAGGGACGGCUAACUACGUGCCAGCAGCCGCGGUAAUACGUAGGUCCCGAGCGUUGUCCGGAUUUAUUGGGCGUAAAGCGGGCGCAGGCGGUUAGAUAAGUCUGAAGUUAAAGGCUGUGGCUUAACCAUAGUACGCUUUGGAAACUGUUUAACUUGAGUGCAAGAGGGGAGAGUGGAAUUCCAUGUGUAGCGGUGAAAUGCGUAGAUAUAUGGAGGAACACCGGUGGCGAAAGCGGCUCUCUGGCUUGUAACUGACGCUGAGGCUCGAAAGCGUGGGGAGCAAACAGG
rnacentral:rRNA from 1 species